rnacentral:rRNA from 1 species
GAAUGCGAUCAUACCAGCACUAAUGCACCAUAUCCCAUCAAAACUUCGCCGUUAAGCAUGCUUGGGCGAGAGUAGUACUAGGAUGGGUGACCUCCAGGAAAGUCCUCAUGUUGCAUCCC